GGUAUGAAAGGGUUGACGAAGAAGGUGCUGUGUCUAAAAAUUCAAUUUAAACUAACUUUAAGGUGAAGAGGCCUUUAUGUAAAAGAAGGACGACAAGACCCUAUGAAGCUUUAUCUUAAUUGGAGCUCUCAGGCUCUUAUACGAUUUUGAUGGGAGAUCAGUAGAAAGAAGUCUUCUACUAUCAUAUUAAUCUUACUAGUAUUUCCUAACUUUAUAUGUGUGGCUAGCUACUCUAGGGAUAACAGCGCAAUUUCUCCCGAAAGAUGGUAUUGGAGGGGAAGAUUGCGACCUCGAUGUUGGCUUUAGAUAUCCUAGAGGCGUAGAAGCUUCU
rnacentral:rRNA from 1 species